AUGACCGGCGCUCUGCCAAUCACUCCACCGUCGCCUCUUCUCCAGUGGACGCGGCUCCGGCGAGAGGCCGCCGACAAGAACCUCUGGUCACCCCACCGGUCGUGGCUGCAGCAUACAUGGGUAGUCGCCCUCUCCCCCUGCAUCUUCUCCCUGCUUCUGCUUCUCCCACUCAUGUCAUCUGACAAGAAACCACACUGUUGCGUGCAGACUGCUGACAGAAACUACAUGGAGGGAGGCUCGCAGAUCGUUGGUGCAGUGCACUCUGGUCCUGGUGCAGAUCGUUGUUUUGGAGUUUUUAUUAUAAAGUGUAGAAUGUAG
rnacentral:rRNA from 1 species